CCAGACUCCUACGGGAGGCAGCAGUGGGGAAUAUUGCACAAUGGGGGAAACCCUGAUGCAGCGACGCCGCGUGAGUGAGGAAGUAUUUCGGUAUGUAAAGCUCUAUCAGCAGGGAAGAAAAUGACGGUACCUGACUAAGAAGCCCCGGCUAACUACGUGCCAGCAGCCGCGGUAAUACGUAGGGGGCAAGCGUUAUCCGGAUUUACUGGGUGUAAAGGGAGCGUAGACGGCAGGGCAAGUCUGGAGUGAAAGCCCGGGGCCCAACCCCGGGACUGCUUUGGAAACUGCCAUGCUGGAGUGCUGGAGAGGUAAGCGGAAUUCCUAGUGUAGCGGUGAAAUGCGUAGAUAUUAGGAGGAACACCAGUGGCGAAGGCGGCGUACUGGACAGUAACUGACGUUGAGGCUCGAAAGCGUGGGGAGCAAACAGGAUUAGAUACCCCGGUACAG
rnacentral:rRNA from 1 species